UUUUUUUUUAUUUUUUUUAUUUAUGAUAGUCACAGAGAGAGAGAGAGAGAGGCAGAGACAUAGGCAGAGGGAGAAGCAGGCUCCAUGCACCGGGAGCCCGAUGUGGGAUUCGAUCCCGGGACUCCAGGAUCGCGCCCUGGGCCAAAGGCAGGCGCCAAACCGCUGCGCCACCCAGGGAUCCCCAGAAUUACCCUUAAUCAUGACAAUAUAGGCUUUUUCCAGCAAGUUCCUCAAAAUCUUUCUAGUACUAACCCAUUACACAGUUCCAAAGCUAUUCCACAUUUUAAUUAAUACAUUUGUUAUAGAAGCACCACACUUCUGGUAUCAAUUUCUGUCUUUAUCAGUUUGGGCUAAUGUAAGAGAAAAGCAUAGACUGGGUGGCUUAUGAACAAUCAAAUUUAUUUCACAGUUCUGGGACUAGAAGUAUGAGAUCAAAGAUCUGGCAAUUUUGGUGUUUGGUGAGGGUUGCUCCUGGUUCACGAAAAACAAAACCAAGGGAAAAAUAAAACCAAGCAACAUCAAAGAGACGCAAAAUUGCUUCCCUAGAAACUUCUAGUUUGAGCUUUCCCAGAAAUGGCACCCUGCACAUGGGAUAUCUCUGAGACCUCCAAUGCUUGCCUGCUCUCUCUUUCCGUUUUUGUACUUGUAUAUUUUUCAUUUAAAUAAAAGUCUUAGAAGGGUAUGCUCUGUGAAGUCUGUCUGAUGAGUUUUUUCACAUAAUCAAACUAAAGAAAUCUUUACAUACAUUCAGUUACCUGGAUAGUUUUUAAAGUAAAACAAGAAACUGAACAAAAUAUCAUACUAUGCAUCAUAAUAUUCUCUUAUAAAUUAAUUUAAAAAUAUGCACACACACAAAACUGUAUAUAUUGCAAGAAUACAUAUAUAACCAGAGUUAUAUGGCAUAUAUCAAAUAUUAGAACAAGUAUCUAUGGGGAAUGGGAGGAAAUAAAUGGCGAUCAGUGAUCAGAACAUUGCAGAUACUAGGGAUCAUAAUGUGCUGAUAAAUACGAGUAAGGCAACUCUCAGAAUAUGGGGCUUCAAGAUAAUUUCUAUGAUUUAUAAGCCAAAACCCUCUCCACUGGGUGUAAGUUUUAUGACUUUUUUACUGCUAAUCAGUUUAGUCUUAUUUCUAUAGGACAUGUGUUUAUAUCUGUUAAGUGUCAAAUUUGUUAAAACCUGAGUAUUAGAAUGGUCAGUCCCAAAUGAGUGUGUAAUAAAAUUAACUUUGCAUUCCAAAAAAAAUACUACUCAGCUUAAAAACCAGCUAAGGUCAAGCUUUGAUAAGUAUAUUGAUAAACUCUGGAAACUUAGAUAAACAUUUUCAACCGACAAGGAUGAUUUGGGGCAAAAUUGAAGACUGAAAUGCAAUACAAUUUUUGGUUUUAGUUCUUUAUCCAAAAAUCCUUUCUUCUUCAUCAGAAAGCUAAAUCUAGUUUUAAAAAAUACAUAGCACUUCUGAAAUAUACCAGAUGGUCUUUCCAGGAAAUUUAGGAUUUUUUUGACAGAAUUCUCUGGAAGAAUCAACUCAAACUUAUUUUGGAUGUUAAAAGAAAAUGGGAAGAUAUGAUCUUCUAUAUAGCCUAAUUUUAGUGUGAUUAAAUACUUUAGUGUCUCAUUUAAAAUUUUUUCAGGUUGCUAUGCAAUUUUUGGAAAAAAAAAAAAAACAAUUCCAUCAUCAGAGAUAGAAUGAGAGGCUCAAAGGCUCCACUACAUAUCUAUCGAAUUGCCAAAUACAUCCUAAAAGGUUAGAGCUUAAUUUUGGGAGUUAUAUAAUGUCAUGUGAGAAGCAAUGUUUUCUGAAAUUACUAUUGCUCAUCUCUGCUAUGCUUAGCACAUGGUAGACACUCCAGAAAUAGUAGCUGAAAGAAUUCAUGUAUGAAAGUAAAAAGAUGUUUUGGCUAAAUGAGAGAAAAAUUAGUACAUUACCUAAUAGGUUACUUAAAAUACAUGAAGAGUUAUCUUGCCAAAAGAAGUUGAAUUUGUUUUUUGAAGAUCUUGUGGCUAAAGCUCAGUUCAAUGGUGGUGACUCAAGAGAAGUAGAAGUUAGUUCAGUAUAAAGUACUCUGAUACAAUGAGAGCUACUUGAAAAUGGAAUGGAAACUUGAGGAGAGAGUGUGCUGCCUGAUAAUGAAGAGUUCAAGUGGAAGUCCUGUGGCCACUCCACAAAGAUGCAAGAGAGGCACGAGUACACUGGACAAAAAGCAGAACUAGGAGAUCUGUGAUCAACACAAUUAGGCUGCUCUGUGUCCAAAGAUCCACAGUAAAUGAUGUUUUCUGCAUCUAGGAACCAGAGGAGAAUAGACAGUCAUCAAUUUCUUUGAUAUUACCUGCUACCCAUAAGUAUUAUCGUCUGGUUUGUAAUUCCAUGAUUUUGGCCUAUCCUGAUUAAUUAAUAGACCAAACAAUCUAUUUAUUUUGAGCAAAGGAAAGCCCUCAUGUGGACUUAUGUAUUCUGAUAUAUUAGCAAUAUAUGUGACUCACAUAUUAAUGUAUUCUACAAUUUUUUACUCAAUAAUUCAAUAUUUUUUAAAGUGCUCACUUUAUUUUAGACACUGGUGAUACAAUAUUGAUCAGAAAAGACAAAGUUUUUACUCUCAGAGAACUGAGUUUUAGUAAGAGAAAAUAGGUAACAAACACAUCAAAAAAUAAACAGAAAAAUUCCAGGAUGUAGUAAGUGAGGAGAAUGGGAAGUAAGGAGACAAAAGUGGAAAUACUGAAACCAGCUAAGAAAUUUUGGAACAAUUCUUAUUUCUAGCACUUUGGUAGAUUAGAUAACCAGAAAAAGACCCUCCUUGUUAAUGCAACCAAUAACAUAAAGUAUCUAAGAACAAACAAACAGAAGUAAGUAGGUAGGUAAAAAUAUAUAGAGGCUCUUUUGGAGAAAAUUAUAAAGCUUUAUUAAAGGACAUGACAAAAAUCCUAAAUAAUUGGAAAGUUAUGUCAUAUCUUUGAAAAAGGCUCGGUAUAUCAAAGAUGCAGUUUUUCCAAAACUAAGAUUAUAGAUUAAAUACAAUUUUCUUUAAACUUAUUUUUUAAAUAAUAAAAAACUAUUUAAAAAUGUAUAUAGAGUAAUAAAGGGACAAUAAUAGCCAAAACUCUAGAAGAAGCAUCAGGUGAAGAAACUAUACAAAACCUCAAGACAUAUUAUUAUGAAGCUUUAGCUAUAUAAUUAAGGCAGUGUGGUAUUUGGGAUAGAAAGAGCCUAUAGAAGGAAAUAAUCUAAAAGUGCAUCCACACAUGUAUGGAGACUUGAUCUGUUUUUGUUUUGUUAGCAGCCACUGGGAAGGAAUAGAUUGCUUAAGAAUAAUGCUAGAACCUGAGUAUCUGUUCAAAGGGAAAAAUAAAAUUAAUUCCCUAAUGUGCCAUUUACAAAACUUGUCUUAAGAGAUAUAAAAUACUUAAAUGUGGAUGGAAAAACUUUAAAAGCUUUAGAAGACAAUAUAGAAGAAUAUCCUUAAGACUCAGUUUGGCAACAUUCUCUUAAAGAAGUUAAAAAAAUCAAGAUCCCAAAGAAAAUUACUGAGGUUUCCCUCAAUUGAGAUGAUAAUCAGAAGAUAGCAUAAAAAUAGUAAAAGGAUAGGACCAGAGCUGAAAGAAAAUAUUUAUAAUCAAGUUGGACAAAAAUACAAAUAUGAAAUUUCUACAAAUCAAUAAUUACAAGACAAUCAACAACAACAAUAAAAAUGCUUAAAUGACCAAAUAUGCAUUUUAGAGAAGAGGAAUCAUGAAUGGCCAU
rnacentral:lncRNA from 1 species